rnacentral:lncRNA from 2 species
CAACUUUCUUGCGAUGGUGCAGAUCAUUGCAAUGCCGGCGGCGGCGGCUGCACCAAGUGGAUAGUCAGCGGCGUGCUCGCGUCUUCUAAACUGCUUGUAGAUGGUGACACAACCGAUCAAUCUGGCGAUCAAGUCAGUCAAGAUCUGGAGAACGGCGGCCAAAUCGUGGUGUUGGCGUACUUCAUCUCAAGGUAUCGAUGGCUUCUUCGUGUACACAGGCGGGUUUUCCCUCGUCGUCAGGGAGCUCGGCAGUUGUGA